AGUGAACGCUGGCGGUAGGCCUAACACAUGCCAGUCGAACGGCAGCACAGUAAGAGCUUGCUCUUACGGGUGGCGAGUGGCGGACGGGUGAGGAAUACAUCGGAAUCUACUUUUUCGUGGGGGAUAACGUAGGGAAACUUACGCUAAUACCGCAUACGACCUACGGGUGAAAGCAGGGGAUCUUCGGACCUUGCGCGAUUGAAUGAGCCGAUGUCGGAUUAGCUAGUUGGCGGGGGAAAGGCCCACCAAGGCGACGAUCCGUAGCUGGUCUGAGAGGAUGAUCAGCCACACUGGAACUGAGACACGGUCCAGACUCCUACGGGAGGCAGCAGUGGGGAAUAUUGGACAAUGGGCGCAAGCCUGAUCCAGCCAUACCGCGUGGGUGAAGAAGGCCUUCGGGUUGUAAAGCCCUUUUGUUGGGAAAGAAAAGCAGCAGGUUAAUACCCCGCUGUUCUGACGGUACCCAAAGAAUAAGCACCGGCUAACUUCGUG
rnacentral:rRNA from 1 species